ensembl:piRNA 21ur-14032 ncRNA
UUUCAUUCUUUUUGUUGCCAA